rnacentral:rRNA from 1 species
ACGGCGAGUGAAGCGGGAAGAGCUCAAAUUUGAAAUCUGGUAGCCUUCGGUUGCCCGAGUUGUAAUCUAGAGAAGUGUUUUCCGCGUUGGCCCAUGUACAAGUCCCUUGGAACAGGGCGUCAUAGAGGGUGAGAAUCCCGUCCUUGACAUGGACCCCCAAUGCUUUGUGAUACACUUUCAACGAGUCGAGUUGUUUGGGAAUGCAGCUCAAAAUGGGUGGUGAAUUCCAUCUAAAGCUAAAUAUUGGCGAGAGACCGAUAGCGAACAAGUACCGUGAGGGAAAGAUGAAAAGCACUUUGGAAAGAGAGUUAAACAGUACGUGAAAUUGUUGAAAGGGAAACGAUUGAAGUCAGUCAUGCUCUUUGGAUUAAGCCGUUCUGCGGUGUAUUUCAUUGAGCGGGGUCAACAUCAGUUUUGAUCGCUGGAAAAGGGCAGGAGGAAGGUAGCACUCUCGGGUGAACUUAUAGCCUCUUGUCGUAUACAGUGAUUGGGACUGAGGAACGCAGCAUGCCUUUUGGCCGGGAUUCGUCCACGUACAUGCUUAGGAUGUUGACAUAAUGGCUUUAAACGACCCGUCUUGAAACACGGACC